rnacentral:rRNA from 1 species
UGGGGGAUAUUGCACAAUGGGCGAAAGCCUGAUGCAGCGACGCCGCGUGGGGGAUGAAGGCUUUCGGGUUGUACACUUCUUUCGCUAUCGAACAAGGCCCGCUAAGGGUGGGUGAAGGUUAGGUGGAGAAGAAGCGCCGCCUAACUACGUGCCAGCCGCCGCGGCAAUACGUAGGGCGCGAGCCUUGUCUGGAUUUAUUGGGCGUAAAGGGCUGGUAGGCGGCUUGUUGCGCCUGCUGUGAAGUCGCGGGGCUGAUCUGCGCGCGUGCAGUGGGUACGGGCAGGCUUGAGUGGGGUAGGGGUGACUGGAAUACCAGGUGUAGCGGUGGGAUGCGCAGAUAUCUGGAGGAACACCGAUGGCGAAGGCAGGUCACUGGGCCAUUACUGACGCUGAGGAGCGAAAGCAUGGGUAGCGAACAGG